rnacentral:sRNA from 1 species
AAAAAUGACUAACAAAACGAGGCGGACUUUCUCUGCUGAAUUCAAACUUGAAUGCGCUCAACUUAUCCUUGACCAGGGCUACUCAUUCCGUGCAGCCAGCCAAGCCAUGAAUGUCAGCACAUC